AAACCUAACUUCAACCUCAAAUCCUCUCCCUCUCAGCCGCCACUCCCUCCCCCGCUUUCUCAUUUUCUUCUUCAACCGUUGUCAUAUCGGUGCCUUCUUUCUUCCCGAUUAUAUUCAUAUCUCUAUAUUUUAAGGUUUUUAAAUCUUCUUAUUUUUAUGUGACUUAGAUUCUGGGUUAACUUUUACGGGUUCCAACAAUUUGAUAAAUAUUGUGUCUUAUAUUUUAUAUAUAAAUAUUGCGAGGGAACUUGAAAAUUACAAGGAUAUAAUGUUGGGAUGAAGAUCCUUUAAGAAGUUUUCCAAAAAGUUUACAGGGGGCAUCUAAAUUCUUGAAUGCAAGAUUUGAAGCUAUUUCUUCCUUGAAUGCAAUCGGGUGGCGACGUCUUGAAUCCCCAAAUCAAAUACUUAGAUUUUUUUUUUGAUGCGGAACCCUUAGAAUUUUAUAGAUAAAGAAAAAAUAUCUAACCCAAUGUACAUAGUUUGUAUUAUUUUAGUUUGACAAGUAUUUAAAUUUGAGUUCAUCUUAUUGUUUAGCCUCCCAAUAGCUAGUUUUUAUUCUAUAAACUUUAUUAUUUCUCUUGUAGAAGAGUUGUAUGUAUAUUGAGGAUGCAUGAACUUUAGAUAUAUAAUUGUAUAUUUUAGAAUUAACUUUUGGAAUUA